rfam:Sorghum bicolor cultivar BTx623 chromosome 10, whole genome shotgun sequence.
GUAGUCGGAUUCGCAUCAAUCCACAUGUAUUGGAGUGAAUUGGAGUGGAACUUGAACUAAAUUCCACUCCAACACAUGUGGAUUGAGGUGAAUCCGACA